AUGCUGGAUUUAGCAGCCCCCUCUGUGAGCGUACAACGUGCUGAAGACACGCAGUUAAAGAAUGCUUGUUCAGGAGAUUUCAUGUAUGUAAACUGGAGCAAGGUGCCUUUUUCACUCUGAUAACUGCAGCAGGCACAUGACCAUAAGGUAAGUGCUGGUCCUAAAUUCCUUUCUUUUUCUCUUUUUCUCUUUUUUUCUAUUUCUUUUUUUUUUUUUUUUUUUUUUUUUUUCCCCUGUUCCUUGUCUCCUUUUAACAGUGAACUGGGAACUUCUUGUCAACCGUGCUGACACUCCCAAAUCCAUUUUUCUCUAUAGAUAUAGCGACCUUUGAUGUGUGGAAAACACAGUGAGUAACAUAUCCUCUGUUUAAAAUGUUACAUAUAUUUUGGGAAACAUUUCAAAAUGACAACAGGGUGUAUAAUGCAAUUAUUGUUGUACUGUCUGAUUUAUUGUGUAUAUGUCCACAGGAUAUAUUAAGAUUUUAAGAAUUAAAUUAUAUUUUAUGAAACAGACUGCUUAAU
rnacentral:lncRNA from 1 species